CCAGACCAGGCAGAGCUGAUGGAGGAGCCAAGACUCUGGAGGACGACAUCACUCUACCAACUAGGAUCCUCACCAGGAAUCUGGAGGACUGACGGAGAAGCUGUACAUCUGGAAGGCAAAUCCUGAGGACAACCAGGAUUCUACCAUCAAGGAUUCCUCACACACCUGAGCUGAACCUCACCCGAUCCUGUUUGGUCGGGGGCAGACACACCUGAGCUGAACCCCACCUGAUCCUGACACCCUGCUGGUCCCGACUCCUCAGUUCAUCUGAGCCUCGUCCUCCAGAAGACCUGCUGAGCUCAGCGGUCUGAGGCUGAUGGAUCAAUGACCUCCAGUGGGAGUGAUCUUCUUGACCCCACUUGUACCCGUGUGCUUCAACACGCCUUUCCCUCAUGUCUGUCCCUAACCUCACUACUUCACUACUCUCUACUCCUUCCCCUUCUUCUUCCUUCUCCGUGGUUCAAACCUUUACUCAGAAGGAGUGUCUUCUUGAACCUUUACACUGAAGGAGCGUCUUCCGGCCCUCAGAGGGUUCAGCGUUAGGGUUGAGAGUCAGGGUUUAGAGUCAGGGACAGAGCUGGUCAGGGAGGACUCGUUUUAAACAAACCUCUUCACUUGCUUUCUGAAUAGCGACAUUUUGAGUUGUUUCAUUUGGGAAAAUGUUUUCCUCUGCUUUCCUUUAGAAAAACAUGUGUAAAACUUCUGUCAAGUGUUUUUGUUUAUGUAUUAAAAUCCUACAUUGACUUCUGAAUGUUUGGUGCGGUUCAUUUAAUUGUCAUUUAACUUGGUUAAUGUCAAGCUAAACUCCUGCAAUACAUUGAAUUUACAUGAUGAAUGUUAUUCAGCAUUGUUCACAU
ensembl:lncRNA